GAUGAACGCUGGCGGCGUGCCUAAUACAUGCAAGUCGAGCGAAGCGGGCACGGGUGAGUAAAACGUAGAGAACCUCCUAUAAAACUGGGAAUACUUCGGGAAACCGGAGCUAAUCCGGCUACUGAUAGAUUGAUCUGCGCUGCAUUAGCUAGUUGGUAAGGUAACGGCUUACAAAGGCAACGAUGCAUAGCCGACCUGAGAGGGUGAUCGGCCACACUGGAACUGAGACACGGUCCAGACUCCUACGGGAGGCAGCAGUGGGGAAUAUUCCGCAAUGGGCGAAAGCCUGACGGAGCAACGCCGCGUGAGUGAUGAAGGUCUUCGGAUCGUAAAACUCUGUUAUAAGGGAAGCGGUACCUAAUCAGAAAGCCACGGCUAACUACGUGCCAGCCGCCGCGGUAAUUC
rnacentral:rRNA from 1 species